UACGUAGGGUGCGAGCGUUGUCCGGAAUUAUUGGGCGUAAAGGGCUCGUAGGCGGUUUGUCGCGUCGGGAGUGAAAACCAGGUGCUUAACACCUGGCUUGCUUUCGAUACGGGCAGACUAGAGGUAUUCAGGGGAGAACGGAAUUCCUGGUGUAGCGGUGAAAUGCGCAGAUAUCAGGAGGAACACCGGUGGCGAAGGCGGGUCUCUGGGCAACAACUGACGCUGAGGAGCGAAAGCGUGGGGAGCGAACAGG
rnacentral:rRNA from 1 species